UUUCCGUAGGCGAACCUGCGGAAGGAUCAUUCAUAAUAAGUGGUUUAUGGCACUUUCUUAAAUCCAUAUCCACCUUGUGUGCAAUGUCAGGGUUGAUUUUUCUCUCGAGAGGAUCAACCCCAAACAUCAACUAUAUCUCAACUCUUUGUCUGAAAAAUAUUAUGAAUAAAACAAUUCAAAAUACAACUUUCAACAACGGAUCUCUUGGCUCUC
rnacentral:misc_RNA from 1 species